rnacentral:rRNA from 1 species
AGUAACUGCGAGUGAAGCGGGAAAAGCUCAAAUUUAAAAUCUGGUGGUCUUUGGCCAUCCGAGUUGUAAUUUAGAGAAGCGUCUUCCGCGCUGGGCCGUGCACAAGUCUCCUGGAAUGGAGCGUCAUAGAGGGUGAGAAUCCCGUCUUUGGCAUGGACCCCAGGGCUUCUGUGAUGCGCUCUCGACGAGUCGAGUUGUUUGGGAAUGCAGCUCAAAAUGGGUGGUGAACUCCAUCUAAAGCUAAAUAUUGGCGAGAGACCGAUAGCGAACAAGUACCGUGAGGGAAAGAUGAAAAGCACUUUGGAAAGAGAGUGAAACAGUACGUGAAAUUGUUGAAAGGGAAACGCUUGAAGUCAGUCGCGUCGACCGAGACUCAGCCUUGCCUCGGCUUGGUGUACUUCUCGGUUUGACGGGUCAGCAUCAAUUUUGAUCCUUGGAUAAUGGCAGGGGAAAGGUAGCACCUUUUUAGGUGUGUUAUAGUCCUCUGUCGCAUGCGAGGGUCAGGAUUGAGGAACUCAGCAUGCACCUUCGGGUGUCGGGGCCUUGGCCCACGUUACGUGCUUAGGAUGCUGGCAUAAUGGCUUUAAACGACCCGUCUUGAAACACGGACCAAGGAGUCUAACAUACCCGCGAGUGUUCGGGUGGAAAACCCGUGCGCGUAAUGAAAGUGAAAGUUGGGACCUCUGUCGUGGAGGGCACCGACGCCCGGACCAGACCUUCUGUGACGGCUCUGCGGUAGAGCGUGUAUGUUGGGACCCGAAAGAUGGUGAACUAUGCCUGAAUAGGGUGAAGCCAGAGGAAACUCUGGUGGAGGCUCGUAGCGAUUCUGACGUGCAAAUCGAUCGUCAAAUUUGGGUAUAGGGGCGAAAGACUAAUCGAACCAU